rnacentral:rRNA from 1 species
AUUGAACGCUGGCGGCAUGCCUUACACAUGCAAGUCGAACGGCAGCAUGAUCUAGCUUGCUAGAUUGAUGGCGAGUGGCGAACGGGUGAGUAAUACAUCGGAACGUGCCCUGUAGUGGGGGAUAACUAGUCGAAAGAUUAGCUAAUACCGCAUACGACCUGAGGGUGAAAGUGGGGGACCGCAAGGCCUCAUGCUCUAGGAGCGGCCGAUGUCUGAUUAGCUAGUUGGUGAGGUAAAGGCUCACCAAGGCGACGAUCAGUAGCUGGUCUGAGAGGACGAUCAGCCACACUGGGACUGAGACACGGCCCAGACUCCUACGGGAGGCAGCAGUGGGGAAUUUUGGACAAUGGGCGAAAGCCUGAUCCAGCAAUGCCGCGUGUGUGAAGAAGGCCUUCGGGUUGUAAAGCACUUUUGUCCGGAAAGAAAUGGCUCUGGUUAAUACCUGGGGUCGAUGACGGUACCGGAAGAAUAAGGACCGGCUAACUACGUG